rnacentral:rRNA from 1 species
CAAAUCAGGUAGGACUACCCGCUGAACUUAAGCAUAUCAAUAAGCGGAGGAAAAGAAACUAACAAGGAUUCCCCUAGUAACUGCGAGUGAAGCGGGAAAAGCUCAAAUUUAAAAUCUGGCGGUCUUUGGCCGUCCGAGUUGUAAUCUAGAGAAGUGUUACCCGCGUCGGACCGUGUACAAGUCUCCUGGAAUGGAGCGUCAUAGAGGGUGAGAAUCCCGUCUUUGACACGGACUACCGAGGCUUUGUGGUGCGCUCUCAAAGAGUCGAGUUGUUUGGGAAUGCAGCUCAAAAUGGGUGGUAAAUUCCAUCUAAAGCUAAAUAUUGGCGAGAGACCGAUAGCGAACAAGUACCGUGAGGGAAAGAUGAAAAGAACUUUGGAAAGAGAGUUAAACAGUACGUGAAAUUGCUAAAAGGGAAACGCUUGAAGUCAGUCGCGUUGGCCGGGAAUCAGCCUUCCUCUUGGUUGGUGUACUUCCUGGUUGACGGGCCAGCAUCAGUUUUGACCGGUGGAAAAAGUUCAGAGGAAUGUGGCACCUUCGGGUGUGUUAUAGCCUCUGUUCGUAUACACCGGUUGGGACUGAGGAACUCAGCACGCCGCAAGGCCGGGAUUCGUCCACGUUCGUGCUUAGGAUGCUGGCAUAAUGGCUUUAAUCGACCCGUCUUGAAACACGGACCAAGGAGUCUAACAUGCCUGCGAGUGUUUGGGUGGAAAACCCGAGCGCGUAAUGAAAGUGAAAGUUGAGAUCCCUGUCAUGGGGAGCAUCGACGCCCGGACCUGACGUUCUCUGACGGUUCUGCGGUAGAGCAUGUAUGUUGGGACCCGAAAGAUGGUGAACUAUGCCUGAAUAGGGUGAAGCC